AACAGAAGGAGGCAUUAUGGUAUAAAUCAUUGAAUUUCCUUUCCGUUCAGUUUAUUAGACCUGCAACAAGACAGACAAGUCUGGAUUUAGUGCCCUUAUCACACCAUGUGAUGGGCAUACACUGAGUGGCAGCUUCGUGCUCAUUGGCCCAAAUAACUGAACAGUACACAGUAUGGAUAAAACUUAUAAGCAUGCAUUCUUGGCCAAGACAUUUAGCUCAUGUGUGAGCAAACAACAGCAUGGGGACAAGACUGAUUGUGAUUGUGAUUCCAUCUUGUCGGACAUAAAGAUCUGGGAAGUACUGAAAAGAGAGAAAAAAAGGACUGAGACAUCAGCAGUCCGGCACCGAGAAACAAAAAAAAAGGCCCAAUAACAAGCCCGUGCAUCAGUUUCAGGAUCAAUGCUGAAAUUUGUUACAAAAGAGGAUGAAGCGGUUCUCUCAAGCACUGCUCCAGAGGGACCCAGCAGCUGCACAAUCACUGACAGUGGCCUCAACUCUUAAUCUUCAGUCUGGCAAAAGUUCCAUGAGCAAAGAGGAACCAUCACUCAAUAAAGAAGUAGAAACUGAUGUGGUGUUCGCUUCGAGGACUCUGCCAGUUGAUCCUUCUCUCUGGCUUUGUUUGUACCUUGUGGAGCACAUUCAAUGAAUCUUGUGAUAGCAGAUUCAGCCAAGGCAUCUAAGGAUGCUGUUGGCUACUUUGGUUAUGUGCAGAAACAUUUUUUUUCAGGAUCUACACAACGACGGAACAUCUUGUUGAAGCAUGUCCAUCUCACAUUGAAGUCUUGGAGUGAUGUUAGAUGGGAAGCAUUACAGCUGUCAGACACCGAGUGAAGGAAAUAAGAAAUGCUCUCAUUGAGGCAAGGCAAACUGUGAAUGAUCCAGUAGCCAAAGUAGAGGCUCAAGCCCUGGCAGAAGAAGUGGCUUCAUUCAGGUUUCUUAUAUGCACUUUUGUAUGGUCUUAACAAAUAUUAACCAGGUGAACAAGAUGCUUCAGUCUAGUUCAAUGCAACCGGAUGUUGCUGUUGGACUCAUUAACAAUUUUCAACAGUGUUGUGGACUCUGCUUUGGCAUCACUUCAAGAGAGAUUUGAAAUUUUUACUCAGGUCAAAGAGAGAUUUGGAGUUCUGCUUG